GCUCACGCAGGUUCGUUCGCGUGGUCUUGUUACGCCUCGCUGGAUCGUGUUCAGUCAUGCCGUCCUUGCGCGGCGUGAUUGUCGGUGAGUCAGGUUAAAUUCUUAAAUAGGUCGCGCCUACGCCUAAUUGAGUCUAUAAAAGCCUGCACAUUCAGUUUUGCUAGCUACAAUGCAGUGCGGCUGGCGUGAGCUGUCUCCACGAUGCGCUUCGAUCGUGUCGAUUUCGCCGUUCUGUAUGUUGGCGUUAACGACCUUGAAUGCAACAUGGAUCCACAAGAAAUGUGCGACAACAUCAAGGCCUUGAUUGUUCAACGAGACGGCCCCCGUCGUGCUGGUUUUCAAGGUGCUCCCUCGCUGCCUAGAAGAUGCUGAUGCGGAAUAGAAAAUGCAAAAACGUCGCUUGCUCAACCGCAAAUUGACGGCUACGCUGAAGCGCAUGCCGUGUCUGCGGAAUUUGAACCCCGAGCUUUCCAGAGUUCCUUGGAAAAUCCUCCCAUGCACCUGCCAUGUACAUUGCCCUCCUCCUCGAUGUGGCGUGCAAGAUGGCAGCAGCAGCUGUGGGAACAGUUGAAGAGGCGAAGAAAGGUCCACUUUAUAAUAGGUUGUAUGUAAAUAAAACUGAUCGACCUCAA
rnacentral:lncRNA from 1 species